UACGGAGGGUGCAAACGUUGCUCGGAAUCACUGGGCGUAAAGCGCACGUAGGCGGGUUGUUAAGCCGGAUGUGAAAUCCCUCAGCUUAACUGAGGAAGUGCACUCGAAACUGGCAGCCUUGAGUAUGGAAGAGGGUCGCGGAAUUCCCGGUGUAGAGGUGAAAUUCGUAGAUAUCGGGAGGAACACCAGUGGCGAAGGCGGCGACCUGGGCCAAUACUGACGCUGAGGUGCGAAAGCGUGGGGAGCAAACAGG
rnacentral:rRNA from 1 species